rnacentral:lncRNA from 1 species
AGACUCUGCUCCUGCUAUGCUCCCACCUCACUCUUCCCUGAUUUCUCCUCCUGGCAUUCCAGCCUCCUGGACCCCAGUAUCUUCUUCAGACUGAGGAUUUGACUUCUGCUUGGUCUCCUAGGCAGCCCUAGGAACUAACACAGGCACCAACCGCACCAAGCAGGAUUCUGGAAGCUGAGGUUACAGUGGAGAAGGAAACAGGGGAGCAGCUGCUCUGUCCUAUAAGGUGGCGUAAGUAUGGAGAACAGGCCCAGACUCUUCCUAACAGCCCACGGGAGCCAGCAGGAGCCAGCAGGAGGCCAGUGGGGAUGGAGAGAGGAUGGCACAAAGGGACGGCAAGGUCCGGCAGGGGCUGGGAACACUGAGGCAGCCGCAGACUCUACAAGGUCUCCAGGUCCAGAGCAUGGACCCUCUGAAGUCAGUCCUUCCUCCACAGUUUCUGUCUGAAAUCCUGCUCCAUGGUGUGUUCGGCUUUCACGUGGCACACGCCUCUCCUUGCUGGACACACCAGCCAGGCUUUGUCAUUUCAUCCUAUUUUUUUUUGUCAGCUCAUGACAGUAACAGCAGUGUCACUCCAAAACAACUUUGGCAUUCACACCAGCACCCAUCUGGGCAUCAAAAUCUCGAGGUGACACCGGCUUUGAGGCCAGCCUCCCACAUCUUUCAGAUCAUGCUCUGUGAAUGACCUGAAUCUGCCUGCUGACAUCCUCAGGUGGAAUAUGCCACCAGGGUCCCUUCUCCAGCCCCACCACACUCCGGUCCACUCCUUCCAGGCACCCCGGAACCCCGUCCGACAGCA